AUAGGAGGUAUUACUAUGUACAUAUAUACGGAGUGUUUGCGAUUUUCUACUCAGUUUCAUUGCAAAGUCAUAGUAUUAAUUUCAAUAAAUAUUUAUAUCUACGUUAAAACAUUGGCAUCAACAAUGAUGGAAAACCGACCUAAGCUAUUAAUCAAUCGCAACAAUUUAUUGAGCGAGAAGAGUCCACCACCAUCAAAACUUUUACUGAAUCAUGGAAAACCAAAUUUUACCAUAGUGAAAUCAUCAAAAAUCAUUUCUCCACCACCAACCGAGGAAAGUAUUUUUUCUGGAACAGAUCUGAAACCGAGUGCAUUGAAAAGAAGGUCACCACCAAAAGUUAUCCAUAGCAACGGGUCAGUGAAUGGAUCGACAAAUGGUUCGGCCUCAAGCGAUGAAUUCCUCAGAUUGCAUAAGAAAAUUGGAGGAAAGAACUUCGAUGAAAUUGACAACAAUAAUGUCAUCAAUUGUCCUAGCAUGAAUGGUAAUCCAAGUGUUGCUGUCGCGAAGGAGAGCCCACAUGCAGACCAACAUUUUGCUACUUUACAGAGGAAUUGUAUCUUAACUCUCAAGCAUCCAAGCGAAACCAAUGGUUUUACGAAUAAAUCUGAUAUCGACAAUCAAAUGAAUGGAACCGCACUGAAGUCUCCUACUCCAGAAAAGCCAUCCACACCAGAGAAACCAGAUUUUUUGAAACAAUCCACUCCGAGUCCAGUAUCCAGAAGUCCACCGCCUUUAUCAAAGCAAAAUUCCCCCUUUAAUCAAUCCAUGGAAAGCGUGACUAGCCCCUCCGCUGUGAAUUUUGAACAGAGAACUGUUGUUUCUUUUUCACGGGAUCUAUCUGUUACCCCAAAUAGAUAUCCAGAUACCGUGAAAACAACGAAAACCGUAGAUGCUAAUGGUGGAAUUAGUUCGUUGCCAAAAGAAUUUGCAUCACUGAAAUUUGAAAUUGCCCCUGAUGGGGAGUUGAUUCGGCCGGUGAAGAAAAAUGCCGCUUGAAUGUAUUAUGAUUUCGAAGAGGAAUUGUUUAUAAGAAAUGUUGAAAAGUUGCACGAGAAAUCUGCAAUCGUGAAGUAUGCAUGUGAUAUAUGUUAUAUAAUAACCCUUGGCCGAGCCAAGUGGAUAUCCUUAUGGUAGCGCUGGAAUACCCAUCCUUGAUACAAACUAAAUAUUUAGUUAUUUAUUGAGUAUCAUGAAUGUCUAACCGUCAGGUGAAAGCACUCUUGGAUGCAGUGCUCAGUCACCGAAUUAUGAAUACAUAAAUUGCGAGAAGAAAUUCUACCUCGGGAACAAUAUUCUUCAUUCACCAUGGAUUAAAUACUGGAUACUUUAAGGUUCUUGAUUUGCAUUGCUUCGACUCAGCAUUUGGACGUCAUAUUAAAUGUGGAUCAAACUAUCUGAGAUGCGAUUGUUUUGAGAACUAGCACUUACGCUUUUUUAUGGCGGAAGGACUAUAUUUUUUGGUGGAUUAGCUUUACUAGCGUCAGUUUUUAAUGCUUGCAUAGAUAUGAAAACAAAUCAUGACACUGUUUUUAUCAGAGAAAACAGAAAUUUAAAUUUAAUAUUUCUAUUUUAAGAAGCAGCAAUCUUUUGUAUAUCUGUUUUGAAAUAUUAUCUUAUUGGAGUUUUAAAUGGCUGAAUACUUUUGGAACUAUAAAGGAUUAAUUUAGCGCUUGAAAAACUUAUAAUCUAUAAGCAAUCUAUAGAAUUUCAAACUAAGAAUAUUAAGAUGUGCAAUUAUUAAUGAAUAUAAAAUUUUUAAUAAAAUCGUUAGAAAAAA
rnacentral:misc_RNA from 1 species